rnacentral:lncRNA from 1 species
CUCACACAUGUGGGCGCUCACCCCUCUUGACAGAGAGCACCAUGGCUCCUGAAGGCACUCAACUUGUUCUAGGUGACAGAAAAGGAGGAGGACAGUGACCGUCCCUCCCACACGCUGCCUUCUACAGGCACACGGCUCAUUCCACGUCAGACACACAACUUGCCCCCCACGCAGGUCCUUUUCUUCCUGUCACCAGAUGUGUAAACCAGGGCUCAGAGCCGGUGGCUGUCCCCGGGAGCAGGCGGGACCCCAGCCCUCUUGUCCAAUCCUGGCAGUCCUUCGAGGCUCCUUUCAGGGAGUGGAAAAGGAAACACUGGGUCCUUUUACAGGGUUUCAUGGCAUGACGAGUAGCCCCUGAGGAUGGUCCAUUCGCUGUGGUUGGAAGGACCGUUUAUUUUCCUGCGGGCCACUCCAGAGCCUUUCAAAGGUGUGAAGUCCCAUGCUGCAAAUGCUGAUGUGACUGGACAUCCAGAUUGCGCCUUGCCUGGCUGGGCCUCAGCCCCUGAGGCUCCGGCCUCUUCUCAUGCACAGCCAGUGGGAACUCCCUCCGGCCUACCUGGUCUCUCCUGCCAUGAAAGGCUGGAGAGUGACAGGCCAGAAACUUGACUCUUGUGUUUAUUCACCAAACACAGAGAGGGCCCUCCAGGUUCUCCUUUGCCAUCCAGACCCUCUGAACGUCAGGGGAGGAGGGGUCACUGGCCUACUCCCAGGCUCCACAUACCUGGACACUCACCUCUGGAGAUUGGCCACUAGGAGGAGCAUCUGGGCUGGUCCGGCAGCAAGAGAGAGUCUGGUAAGACAUAAGGAAGAACUCUCUGACACUGAGGGAUGUUCAACACACAGAGAGAAGAAAAAUUGCUGGAAAUCCUGUGGCAUCUUGGUGAGAUCCCUGGGCUCCUCCAUCUGAACUUCCUUCCACACCCCUGCAGUGAGGAAGGGUGAAGCUUGGGUGUGUGAUUCCCAAGCCCUGCUUUCCACCAGUUCUAACAGGAUUGGAAUUCCACACCAUUCCACAGCAGGAGACAGGGAGUCAGGCUGGACCAAAAGGACGGUUUCUAAAUGUUUUCACCCCGAGUCUGUCAUGUGGUUGAUUACUGGGUAAUUGUGUCCUUGAACUGAUUGGUUGUUUCCUUAUAUAAUAAUCCAGGAAGUUGCAUGGUUAUUUUUUAAAAAUUGAACUGAUGUUAUUGCUGUUUUUCUGUUGUCCUUCCCACCCACCCCCCACCCCCGUCAUUUUUAUAACUGAACAGACUGUUGUGGUUGGACAGAUGUGCUGUGUGUCUAAACUGACCCCUUGUUGGGCUGAGCCGGUGGGUUGUUUGUCUGCAGUGAUCAGCUGUGGGACCCGGGAGGUUGUCCUGCAGGGGUCCUGACAGGAUGUUUUGUCUGAAUGGACUGGUCUGUCGUCACACCAGCUCCAUGCCCCAGCUCCCAUUCAACCCUGAUGUUUCCAGAAAGAUCCAGUCCCCAGUGGUUUGGGGUAUAAAUUCCAUCCUGAUCCAUCAUGAAACAAUCUACACUAUUGUCAUCAUUUUAAAAUGAGGUUCCAGAUUGAGGACCUGGCCAACCACCUGGCACCUGUCGCCCCAUCCUUGCGGCAGAACUGCCUGCCUGGAUGUCCACGUUGGCUGGGCUGAGCCCUCUGGGUCCUGCCCUCUUCCCCCAGCCACCAGCUCGGCCCUUCAUUGGCUUCUCACUCACUCUCUGUCAUUGCUGACAGGUCCACCCACUUUCAAUGGGGUUGUGACAAGAGGGCCCUCACUCCCCCCACUCACCCUGCUCACCCCCUGAGUGGCCUUUCAGAAUCACAGUGAAAGGGACUUGUCCACAAAUGGGGGAUUUGUCAUUGUCCCCUUUGUAAAGGCUCUCUGAUUCCCUGGCCCCACCCCUCCCUUCACCAGAAUCAGCAGGGUGGCCCUAAGGGGCUUUGGAUGUGAGAGCGUGAUGUCCCCAAUGCCCUUGCUCAGAAUCAGGGCUCAGGACUUAGCUUCAGAGCCAGAAGACAACGUUGAGGUGUUUCCUGCCUCCACCCCCUCCCCAUUUUACAGACAGGGAAACUAAGAGUCAGACGGUGAGGCCUCUCACUGCCCUGUUCGCUCAUCUCCACUCUCCUUUGCUUUCAGAAUGGAGGAGGCAACGGUGGACUUUGGCGUUGGUCUCAGAAUGAUGUGCUGCACCUCGGGGAAGGAUCCCCCAUGGCUGCCACCAGUCCUGGAGGACGCGUGGGCAGUGGUUUUGUUGUUUAGCACCAGAAAUCAAAACCUCCAGCCAUGAAAGUGGCAGUUCUUGGUUGAACUGCCUCUAAAAUAAAUAGAUACACUGGCCUGACUAAUUUAAAAUUCAAUUCACAAAAGGAAACAAAGCCAAAUUGUUCUUUUCCUGUUUCUAUUACUUUUGUUCCCACAUUUAGACUAUUUAAUCCAACUUCCUAUUUGUGGGUGGGCCUAUUGGGGACCAGAGGAGUGGUCACUUGCCCAGCAGGCUAGGCUGUGUGUACCUGCAGCCGCUGAUGCUUUCCUGGCCAGCAUUUCAGUUUUGGAAAAAUCUCGGCUCCAUCGAAACGGUAUUCUGAGAACUGUCUGGGCACUGCAGUAGGGUUCGAUCUGGCGAUUUGCACUUUCUAAACUAAAUGGAUUUUUAAGAAAAGGAUUUGAAACUGGCAAAAGGGAUUGCCUUCAGUGUUUUAUCUGUGGGGAAAUUGCCCUCAUCUCUUCGCAUUUCUAAACCCUGAUCUGGUCCCUCUCUAAGAAGGUGCUUUAGGUGAACCUAGGGCUGGCAAAUUCUGCUGGAUAUUGAGCUGGAGAAAAGAUCACACAAGGAAGACAGCCUCGUGCUUAGGCGGCCACCACACAGACCCUGUCUUUACGCUACCUGAAUGGAAAGCUAGAGGUUCAUAUGUAAAUCAUUUAUCUUUGGCUGGUCCUUUUACGGAGUUUGAGAUGAAUUCACUAGGAAGUCCAUGUUUUCUAAAGUACCGGCGUGACUCCGAAGCUGGCUUUGUUUUGCUUUUGGUUUACUCCUCAGUGUGGUAAUAGUAUCCUGAGUGUUGCUCUCCAGCUGAUAUCUAACCACCCUCUUCCACCGGGCAGUCCCCCGUGGGGAUUUACAGCAGGGCGAUGAACCCCCCGGUCUCUCUCUGAACACGAUGAGGAUGUGGAUAACAUCAACAGUUCAUCCCUGAGCCAUCCUCAUCAACCGACUUUAAUCGCCCCCAAGACUGAUAACCAUCAAAGGCUGUUCAUUCCCCGCAAAUUAUCUAAUCCACAUGUUGUCCUAUUUGUGUAAACCCCAGCCUGCGAGGAUCAUAAAAUAAAUAAGCAUGAAAUGGUUGAUAGUUCCCAAUCUCCUCUCACCUAGACAGGCCAGGCUGCUCAUCUCAGCCACUGCUGUGACCCCAGCCUCCCUCCAAGAAGGAAUGGGGAGCGUGGCUUCCUUUGGAGACCUAUUUGCUGCUGUUUCUGGGACUCUCUCCACAAGUACUUCUGCCCCAUCCUUUCUGCCCCCUCUCCCCUCUCAUGCC